UCCUCGAUAGCUCAGUUGGUAGAGCGUCGGACUGUUAAUCCGCAGGUCCCUGGUUCGAGUCCAGGUCGAGGAG
rfam:Betaproteobacteria bacterium RBG_16_66_20 RBG_16_scaffold_7251, whole genome shotgun sequence.